GGGGGAAGCUCAGUGGUAGAGCGCAUGCUGUGCAUGCACGAGGUCCCGGGUUCAAUCCCCGGUACCUCCA
rnacentral:tRNA from 1 species